GAUGAGCGCUGGCGGCGUGCCUAAUACAUGCAAGUCGAGCGAACGGACGAGAAGCUUGUUUCUCUGAUGUUAGCGGCGGACGGGUGAGUAACACGUGGAUAACCUACCUAUAAGACUGGGAUAACUUCGGGAAACCGGAGCUAAUACCGGAUGAUAUUUUGAACCGCAUGGUUCAAAAGUGAAAGACGGUCUUGCUGUCACUUAUAGAUGGAUCCGCGCUGCAUUAGCUAGUUGGUAAGGUAACGGCUUACCAAGGCAACGAUGCAUAGCCGACCUGAGAGGGUGAUCGGCCACACUGGAACUGAGACACGGUCCAGACUCCUACGGGAGGCAGCAGUAGGGAAUCUUCCGCAAUGGGCGAAAGCCUGACGGAGCAACGCCGCGUGAGUGAUGAAGGUCUUCGGAUCGUAAAACUCUGUUAUUAGGGAAGAACAUAUGUGUAAGUAACUGUGCACAUCUUGACGGUACCUAAUCAGAAAGCCACGGCUAACUACGUG
rnacentral:rRNA from 1 species